rnacentral:rRNA from 1 species
CGGCGAGUGAAGCGGCAACAGCUCAAAUUUGAAAUCUGGCCCCCAGGGUCCGAGUUGUAAUUUGUAGAGGAUGCUUUUGGCGCGGUGCCUUCUGAGUUCCCUGGAACGGGACGCCACAGAGGGUGAGAGCCCCGUAUAGUCGGACACCAAGCCUCUGUAAAGCUCCUUCGACGAGUCGAGUAGUUUGGGAAUGCUGCUCAAAAUGGGAGGUAAAUCUCUUCUAAAGCUAAAUACAGGCUAGAGACCGAUAGCGCACAAGUAGAGUGAUCGAAAGAUGAAAAGCACUUUGAAAAGAGGGUUAAAAAGCACGUGAAAUUGUUGAAAGGGAAGCGCUUGUGACCAGACUUGCGCCCGGUUGAUCAUCCAGCGUUCUCGCUGGUGCACUCUGCCGGGCUCAGGCCAGCAUCGGUUCUUGCGGGGGGAUAAAAGCUGUGGGAAUGUAGCUCCCUCGGGAGUGUUAUAGCCCGCUGCAGAAUACCCCCGCGGGGACCGAGGUACGCGUUCCGCAAGGAUGCUGGCGUAAUGGUCACCAGCGACCCGUCUUGAAACACGGACCAAGGAGUCAAGCAUUAGGGCGAGUGUUUGGGUGUCAAACCCGCACGCGAAAUGAAAGUGAACGUAGGUGAGAGCUUCGGCGCAUCAUCGACCGAUCCUGAUGUAUUCGGAUGGAUUUGAGUAAGAGCCUUACCGCUUGGACCCGAAAGAUGGUGAACUAUGCUUGAAUAGGGUGAAGCCAGAGGAAACUCUGGUGGAGGCUCGCAGCGGUUCUGACGUGCAAAUCGAUCGUCAAAUUUGAGC